rnacentral:rRNA from 1 species
GACGAACGCUGGCGGCGUGCUUUACACAUGCAAGUCGAACGGAAAGGCCCUGCUUUUGUGGGGUGCUCGAGUGGCGAACGGGUGAGUAACACGUGAGUAACCUGCCCUUGACUUUGGGAUAACUUCAGGAAACUGGGGCUAAUACCGGAUAGGAGCUCCUGCUGCAUGGUGGGGGUUGGAAAGUUUCGGCGGUUGGGGAUGGACUCGCGGCUUAUCAGCUUGUUGGUUGGGUAGUGGCUUACCAAGGCUUUGACGGGUAGCCGGCCUGAGAGGGUGACCGGCCACAUUGGGACUGAGAUACGGCCCAGACUCCUACGGGAGGCAGCAGUGGGGAAUAUUGCACAAUGGGCGGAAGCCUGAUGCAGCAACGCCGCGUGCGGGAUGACGGCCUUCGGGUUGUAAACCGCUUUCGCCUGUGACGAAGCGUGAGUGACGGUAAUGGGUAAAGAAGCACCGGCUAACUACGUG